ensembl:snRNA U6 U6 spliceosomal RNA
GUGCUCACUCCGGCAGCGCAUAUACUGAAACUGGAACGAUGCAGAGAAGAUUAGCAUGGUCCCUGCACAAGGAUGACAUCCAAAUUUGUGAAGUGUUCCCUAUUUUU